CCCUAGAAAUCGAGUACCCAACCCAAAUACAUCCCCGUUCCAUCCCCACUCCCCUGCCGCCGCCGUCCAUCCCCACCUCCCUGCUGUCGCUCCACCACCUAUGUCCCCGCCGCCGUGCCAUCGCUGCCCUCGUGCUCCAGCGUCACCCUCGUCCUCGCUGCCCUCGUCCUCACGCUUCCCCCACCCCACCGACACAUGUUCCCUACCAUCGCCGGGGUCGCAGCCGCCGAUAGACCGACCCCGAGAUCCGUCCGUCCACCGUCCCCAACCCCAUUCCAUGUCCCCGAGCCCUCGACCCCAUCCCCUCCUUCCUUCCUUGCAGUCACAGCCGCCGAGAGCUCCGUCCGCUGCCGCCUUCACCGACCAGCCCCCACCCCCACCCCCAAGAUGAAGUGAAUGCCGCUUAGGGAUUCUAGCGCCACCGCCAACCACCAUCGGAGACUGCCAUCCGCAAGCGCCAGCAUCGCCAUAACUACCGAAUCACCUCGGGCUGGUGGGAGUGGGCGUUGCUAGGUAAGCACCGAUGGUGGGAUCCCCAAUUUGUUUUCUUUGUUCUUGUUCUUCCAACCGUGACUAGCACCUUGUGUCUCUAGUAGAUCGAACUGCAAGUUUGCUGCAACUUUGGAGUUGUAUUGUUGGUAGUUGCUGUGGAGUAGUUUGGACAUGUUGUUGAUCUGAAGCAUAACCUGAUCCCUUCUCACUUAAUCAGCCCCUUUUUGUUUAAGAAGAGCGUGUAGUAUUACAAAGGUUACUACUUGGAUCUGUAUACCACUGAGAAGCAAAGAAAUCAUACCUUGUUUUAUUUUCUAAUUGUUUUGCCCGAUCGAUGGCUAGCGGGACAUGGUACUUUAGUUCUUGAAUUCUAGGCUUGCAAGUGUCUGAAUUCUAGGUCUGCAUCAGCAUCAUAUGUUAAUCAGAUAUAUGUGUAACCAGCUAUACUGAUGAUAUUGCUAUAAUAAAUAGUAAUUCUGGAGUACCACUUCUUUUUGUAGCUAGCAUGUAGGCUAUAAGCUCUCGUUGAUGCUAUAGAUGGUCAGGUCGGUUUCAAUUUUUUCCGGACAAAAUUAGAUUCCAACCUAGUUUGUAGGAGGUUUGGUAGAUAUACAAGUCACUAUAAAAAAGUCAGUUGCACAGUCAAAUGACUGAAGUGAAAUAUUCUCAUUGGAGAAAUUUGCAACUGUUACCAAAUUGCAAAUGCAGAAUGAGAUAAUUGUAAGCUUAACACUGCAGAAUCAACGUUUUAUAAAUAUUGUUGGAUUAUCAAGUAUGCAGUAGGGGAUAAAUUUUUAACGGCUGCCUAUAAUGUCAACAUUGUCUAGGCAAAUAACAUGUUCUUUUCCGUUAUUUUUUUCCUUGAGAUGGUAAUACGUUUUAAUACGUGGCCUCAAAAUCUGGAAGACGAAAGUCAUUCAUUGAUACAAGUUUGUUUGCUGUGUUCCCUCCCUGUCAUUUAAACCCGCCAUUCGCUGAGUAAUUAUGGAUAAAAUUGUUGAUCUUCUCUUGUACAGUUUGGUUCAAGCACUUGUGUUUAUGGAGAAAAUUUACACUAGCUUGCACCCGUGGUCAAACAUUUAGGUCAAAAAUGCACCUGCUGCAUGGCCUAUUCCUUCAAUUUGUGCAGUAAGAUAAUGUGAUGAAUCAUUCAUUCAUAUAUUCAUAUAUGUGUUCAGAUGCUUCUUUCCAAACAUAUAAAAUGUGUUCAGAUGCAUGUCUUCAGUUCAUGUUUUUCAUUUUUUCUUGGGACAGAAAAGUAGUAUGUAAUGCACGUAUCUCCAGAUGAGAUAGGAGAUAGAUAUAUUUAUGUGUCAGAUACUACUGUCUAACUAUUUGUGGUAAUAAGUAUUGGUGUUAAGUAGAAUCUCCAUUUUUGUUCCCAUCAUAGGACCAUUAAACAGUCCGAUGCGAGCCAUAUAUUUGAUAUUAAGCAAGUUGUCUGUGGAUGUUCAAUACCCACCUAAUUUGAGCUCCCCGUUUCCUUAUGCAGGUAAAUCCUAGAAUUUUCAUCACUUUUUAGUUCUAAUUUUACCACUCUGCUUGAUGCUUGCUUAAAUUGGGUGCCUUCUCAUAAUACCUUUCUUGCUUUGAAGAAUAUAUCAUUUAGCAUGCUUUUCUAAAAACAAGUCACAACACCAUUUAGAAUGCGACAACUGAGAAUGCUGGGUUAUAUUGACAUGUGUAGCUAGACAUUCCCUUGGCAUUCAUGAUAUUUAUAGAUGGAUUCACCCUUCAGAUAUGGCAUCAUUAUUUUCUCUUACUCAUUUCAUUCACUUCAAAAUAUCCGGGCCUUAGUUUCCUUAGUUACCCUCUUGCUGCUUCUGUUGGGUCUAUGAUUCCACAGGUGCCAUAUAAUAAUGUUUGUGAACUAUGGACCUAAUGGGUAUGCUGGUGGUGGUGGUGGCAGGUACCAAAACAACAAGGUUCUUUCCUGAUGUCCUGCUUAUUGGAGGGGGGGGAUGAUGUAGCAUCGAUCACUAGUAGGCCAAGGGUGGUUGAUACAUGUCUUCACAUUUUUCAGAGCAACGUGCAGUGGAAGAAGCAGCCUAUGAACUGACAUAGUUUGCAUAAGAAAUAGGCGAUGUACUCAGCCACCUACUACACAUGGAUGUGAUGACUUCGGAGUGUUCUGCAGCAUUUGGCUGUUUGUAGUAUUUUGGACCAGCCAACUUGUGGUCAUGAAUCUUAUGUCUGUUUUGGACCAUUUGGUGCUUCAAGUGUUUUGGAGCAUAUAUCUUGUGCUCAUGGGUGUGAUAUAAGUGUUUUGGUUCAUUUAAUGUUAGAACUCUUUUAGAACAGCAAAUAGUGGUCCCUUUAUGUGGCUUGUGUUUUCUCGAUGGUGGUCAAAAUGGCCAAACUUUGCUAUGUAAGGACUGUCUUGUUUUUGGACUUCUGAUCAAUAUAUAUAUGUAUGUUUGUGAA